UUUCAUGACAAACCAAGAUACUGAAGUUGGCAAAUUUGUCAUCCCAAAGGAGACCAUAGUCUUGUAUAAUUUGUCUUCUGUGCUGAAGGAUGAAACCAUGUGGGAGAAGCCUCAUGAGUUCUACCCGGAGCACUUCCUGGACGCAGAGGGGCGCUUUGUCAGGCGGGAGGCCUUCCUGCCUUUCUCUCUAGGUCACCACGCUUGUCCUGGAGAACAGGUGGCUAAAACAGAACUGUUCAUCUUCUUUUCAAGCCUCCUGCAACGCUUCACCAUUUGUGUGCCUGAAAACUGCCCCAGACCCACCAGGAAGAAUAGAAAGUUUGCCUUGCUAGCGCACCCUCUCCCUUUCCAGAUAUGUGCCAUUCCCAGGUAAUGCCCCCCAGCGAUCUGCUGCCCAGUCUGUGCUGGCGUAAGAAUGGCCGGCAGAGAGAAAAUGGCUGCCAAAGUUUUGAAUGAGAAGAUGUGUUCUUGCAUUUCCUUAGCAUGCAUUUCCAUACAAUGAACACUGCAAAGGAAAUA